rnacentral:lncRNA from 1 species
UGGUAGUUUAGUGUCCUGUGCCUUAGUAGCCUUCUUGUGCUGUGAGCCAGCAGGUGCCCCCUCUGCCUCUAGAUCAUGGUGUUUGAGUUUCUUGAAUAUGUGAGAAUUUUCAGCCUGUGUGCCCUCCCUCCCUCCAUAGCUUCUGAUCUGCAUGAUCUGUACUGUUUAAUUUGCCUGCCUGUGAGUAAAAUUCCCUUGACACUUUUAAAUUUGGGGUUUGAUAUUUGUUUGCUUUGUUUUUUGAGACAAGGUCCCUCUAUGUAGCUCUAGCUAUCCUGGAACUUGCUAUAAACCAGGUUGGCCUGGAACUCGGAGAACCUCCUGCCUCUGGCCCCCAAGUGCUGGGAUUAAAGGCGUGCGCCACCAUGCACAGACUGAACUUUUAAUUUGAGGGCAUGGAAUAUUUUCUCCUUGUCUGUCAAUCACAGUGUUUUAAGGUUGAUCCAGAGGCUGCCUCUGAGGUCUGACCAGCACUGUUCUUGGGUUAUAACUAGCCCCACUGGGUUUGCGUGUUCCCACAAUGCUUUGCUUUCACCUCUGAUAGUAACAGUCCCUCCCACCUUUUGUUUCAUGAGUGUUCACAGUACAUGGUCAAUCUCCAGCAGAUGGGUGUGAACUUCUUCCUUUUACACCAGAAAGUGGGGCUCAGGAAACCCUACCAGGAUUCCCUAGUGACAGGGACUAAGCUUUGAAGGCUCAAACAUCAUGCCUUUCUCCAUAAUGUCCCAAACCACAGGUACAGUUUCUUUUUUCAGUUGUGCCAAGGGCAUGGUAUUUUAUUUGAAUAAGAGCAGGGAAUCACUGUCCCAGUCCAUUAUUCAUUGGUGUCUUUUAAAAGUUGAUCCACUUUUGUUGUCUUGUCUCUUUGCAUGACACAGGUUCUCUGUGUGUCUUGUUCUAGCUUUUGCUCUGCAUGCCUGCAGGAAUGUCUGAAGCCGAAGAAACCUGUCUGUGGGGUGUGUCGCAGCGCUCUGGCACCUGGCGUCCGAGCUGUGGAGCUCGAGCGGCAGAUCGAGAGCAUAGAGACUUCUUGCCAUGGCUGCCGUAAGAAUGUAUGUGGACUUCAUGGAGAGUCCUUGUCUUUUGGUGAUGAGAUGUAGAAGAGCUAGUGUCUGAAGUUAGAGCCUGAAUACUGGCCAACAGCAUCAGUGCAUGCCUGCUGUGUGUGGUGGUGGCUGUGCUGCUGUUGGGGGAGGGGGGCUGUUUUUUUGUUUGUUUAUGUUUCUUCACCUUGCUGGGGUUUAUUUUUUCAUGAGUUGGUUUAGCAAUUUAUACAUACUACUUUUGAAAUCCAUAGAAACAAAUUCCCACCCCUAUAACAGGCCACCUUCUGCUAAUCUAAGCACUUAGGGACCGAGCAGCAAAGCUAGGAGACCUAAGCCAGCCUGGGCUGCUGAAGUCCUACUGCAGAAAGUAACUCGCAUGUGUUCUAGUUAGAAUAUAAGGGUACUGCAUGAUUUUUAAGUUAUAUAUAAAAUGAACAUCCCUCAGUAUAGAGUGAUUGCCUAGCCUGCAGGAAGCCUGGGUUCCAUCCCCAGCAUCCUCUCAACAAGACGUGGUGGUUCACACAUAAUCCCAGCACUGUGUGGUAGGCAGGAGGGUCUAAAAUUCAGGGCCAACCUGGUAUGCACAAAGCUGUCUCUC